rnacentral:rRNA from 1 species
AGGAUGAACGCUAGCGGCAGGCCUAACACAUGCAAGUCGAGGGGUAGAACACUUCGGUGUUUGAGACCGGCGCACGGGUGCGUAACGCGUAUGCAAUCUACCUUAUACAGGGGAAUAGCCCAGAGAAAUUUGGAUUAAUGCCCCAUGGUAUUACGAAAUCGCAUGGUUUUGUAAUUAAAGUUCCAACGGUAUAAGAUGAGCAUGCGUCCCAUUAGUUAGUUGGUAAGGUAACGGCUUACCAAGACGAUGAUGGGUAGGGGUCCUGAGAGGGAGAUCCCCCACACUGGUACUGAGACACGGACCAGACUCCUACGGGAGGCAGCAGUGAGGAAUAUUGGUACAAUGGGCGCAAAGGCCCUGAACCCAGCCAUCGCCGCGUGCAGGAAGAAGCAUCUAUGGUAGUGUAAACUGACUUUUAAUACAAGGAAGAAACAACUCUACGUGUAAGAGUUCUUGACGGUUA